CUGCAGCGGUCAGUUUGGUUGUCAGAAACACAGGAUGCUGCUUCUAGGUUAAGUUGGAGUAGUUUGGUGUAUUUUGGCUUUUGUGUGAUCAACUCUGUCAGUGCUAUGUUUUGGGAGUGCGUUUCUUGCUGGUGGUGGGAGCAGCUCUGCUAUCUUCGUGCAUUGUGUCUGGAUUGCAGGUCUGCAAGAGGAGUAGGAAGAAAACUUGGCUGGGGUAAUAGCUGUAAGAAGUUGGUCUAUUCCGGUGAAAGAUGGCGGCAGUGCUCUUUAGAGGCCUUUUAUUUCCUUUGGACAAGCCUGAAAGAUUCUGUUCAGGGGAUGACGAUGGAUGUUGCCAACACAGACCCCUGACAUGAUCCCUGUUCUACACAUGGCACGUUGAACGCUGCUACCGAUAGUCACAAGUAAUAACCAUUCAACACUUGGCCAUUAACAAGUAUCAGAGCCCUGAGAGCAGCUGAGAAGCAGUUUGCAGAGCAGACAGAUGUGACAGAAGUUGCUUCAGAACAUGCACAUAGUAAAGGAUCCCCAAAGGCUCUCCCGCCACCUUUGCAAUGUUGUGCAAACAGCUCUAUGAAGAACUUGAAUUGGGCAGAGUGCAGCUGGAUCCUGAAUGGCUUUCUGCAUCUUGGAGAAACACACCAUGGAAGGUAAUGGGAAAUCUUAAUUGUGCUCCGGCUCCUAUGAUGUGUUGUUACACACACACCAGCUCCUGAGGACCUGUGUGGGGACAGCUGGCAGUGACCCGCAGCCGUGUC
ensembl:lncRNA